UACGUAGGGUGCAAGCGUUAAUCGGAAUUACUGGGCGUAAAGCGUGCGCAGGCGGUUAUGUAAGACAGAUGUGAAAUGCCCGGGCUUAACCUGGGAACUGCAUUUGUGACUGCAUGGCUAGAAUCUGGCAGAGGGGGGGUAGAAUUCCACGUGUAGCAGUGAAAUGCGUAGAUAUGUGGAGGAACACCGGAUGGCGGAAGGCAGCCCCCUGGGUCAAGAUUGACGCUCGAUGCACGAAAGCGUGGGGAGCAAACAGG
rnacentral:rRNA from 1 species